rnacentral:rRNA from 1 species
AUUGAACGCUGGCGGCAGGCCUAACACAUGCAAGUCGAACGAGUGGCGGACGGGUGAGUAAUGUCUGAGAAACUGCCUGAUGGAUGGGGAUAACUACUGGACACUGUUGCUGAUACCGCAUUCCUUCGGCUGUGCCGAGUUGGGAUUAGCUAGGAGGUGGGGUAAAGGCUCACCUAGGCGAAGAGCCCUAGCUGGUCUGAGAGGAUGACCAGCCACACGGGAACUGAGACACGGUCCAGACUCCUACGGGAGGCAGCAGUGGGGAAUAUUGCACAAUGGGCGAAAGCCUGAUGCAGCCACGCCGCGUGUAUGAAGAAGGCCUUCGGAUUGUAAAGUACUUUCAGUGGGGAGGCGUUACCCAAAGAAUAAGCACCGGCUAACUCCGUGCCAGAAGCCGCGGUAAUAC